rnacentral:ncRNA from 1 species
UAAAUUUGAUUCUAUUUUGAGACGCGUUAAAAAGAUCUUCCUCCAUUUUAAUUUAUUUUAUAGCCCAUAAAUUUUAAUCCUGAUAUUUUAUAAUUUGUAUAAUUUUUGUUCCAGAAUAAUCGGCUAAACUUUAAAAAUUUUAACUUUAUUUAAUUUUUAUUUUAAAAAAAAGGAAAAAAAGUUUAUAAUAUUUUAUUUAUUUAUAGUAGAAAUAAAAAUAAUUUUUUAAAGUUUUUAAAAUAAUAAAUUUAAAGAAAUGAAUUAGAUUAGUCCCUAAGUAAUUUAAAUUUAAAAUCUCAGUAGUAAAGUAGAAUUUAAACUGAAAGAAUUUUGGCAGGAAACUAAUUUUUUUUUGGAGGUUGAGUUUUAAUUUGAGAGUCCUCAUUUUUAGCUUUAAUUUUUAGUUUAUGUAUGAUUAUUUAUUUAAAUUUUAAAAAUUUAAAAUUAAAAUUAUUAUUAUUAUUUUUUUUUUAUUUUUAAAAAUAAAUAAAUACUUAAUUUAUGUUAAAGUAUCAUUUGACCUACAAUUUUUUUUAAAUAGUUAUAAUUUAAUAAAUUUAAAUAUAUAAAUUGGAAAAAAAAGUAAAAUAAUUUUAAUACUUAUUUGAAUUUUUUUUAGUUUCGGUACAAAUUAUCCAUCAAUUGCCUAAAGGGGAGUAAGUUGUAGUAAAGUAAAAGUAAAGGAAUUUGUUUUUAGAAU